rnacentral:rRNA from 1 species
UAGGGAAUCUUCCACAAUGGACGAAAGUCUGAUGGAGCAACGCCGCGUGAGUGAAGAAGGUUUUCGGAUCGUAAAGCUCUGUUGUUGGCGAGGAAGGAUAGAGGCAGUAACUGGUCUUUAUUUGACGGUAAUCAACCAGAAAGUCACGGCUAACUACGUGCCAG